rnacentral:tRNA from 1 species
GUCCAGGGGCGGGAAUCGAACCCACACCCUUCUGCUUACCGGGCAGGUGCCUUGUCCACUAGCUACCCUGGA